UCAAAUUCCCAAAUUCACGAAACAACAAUUCCUGCCGAAGGUGUAUAUGUUCGUCUCUCUGAAGAAUAUAUAUGAGAAGAAGAUAGAUUAAUUCUAGGCUUUGUUCUUUUAAUCCUUAUUGAGAAACCUAACCCUAAUCUUUUUCUCCUCUUUUCUCUUUAACCUUUCGUCGAUCUCAAACUCCGUAAAGAAGUAGUUGUUUCAAGGAGGAUUAAUCUAUAGCUGGUUCUAAUGGGGAUUGUCGAAUCCAGAAUCUGAUGUAUCUGAUCGUAAUAGUGUUGAGAAAUCUGUUUACUUCUUCAUUGAAAUUUCAGAUGAAACUGAAGAGGGAAUCGGAGCGAAAAUUGAUAUGGGUUUGUCGAGAUAAGGGUUAUUGAGAACUGAGAUUGAUGAUUAAGUCAAAAUAAUUGAAAAUUUUCAGAAUCUAGGGUUUGGUUUUGGGAAGAGCAGCUGAGGCUGUGUCUGAAUCGGUAAGAAUGAGAAUGGGUUAAUUGAAGAUGGGGGUUUGAGAGUUCUUGGAUGAUGAUAAGAGUUGGGUUGAGCUCAAUUUUCAACCAGAUGAAGAAAUCAAUCGAGAAAACAUAUUCCAGUUUCAAAUAUUUCUCUAUUUUUUUCCCUAUAAAUUUCAAUUGAAUUUCGAUUUCAGAAUUACUUAUACAUUCAAAAAUCAUGUGUUUUAUAGGUUUGUCGUAGUGAAGAUACCAUUAUUAUUAUGCAUCUUCGAAGGUUUUUGAUGGUUAUUGAUGUCUAAUAGACAAAGGCACAGUUGGCCAAUUAGUAAAACAUUGUUGGAUGCAAGCCUAUGCAGUAAAUUUAACGAGAUGGCGGGGUUAUUGUUUAUGAUAUGUUAAGGGGGUGAUUUAAGAUGCGAAGUCGAAUAAGAAAGGAGAUGAAGAGGAUUACCAGAAAAAGUAAUCAAUGUUCCAUCAUUUUCGCCUCCAGUUUAUCUUGCGUCCAAGCACAAAUUGAUCGUUAGUAUCAAACAGAGGGAUUGAUGGAUGAUUUGACAACCAUUAAAGUGACCAUAAUCAUUUGAUGAAGAUGAAUUUUCAAGCAAACCUGUUAUAUGUACAGAAACUGAAUGCCGCUCAAUUAGUUCCACAGUAAACGCUUCAGCUGGAUAUCGGUACCGGAGAGGGCUCAGUUGGACGUGUUUAUCAAUAUCAAUUUAAUGACGAGAAGGUAUAUUUAUCUCCUUGGUUCAGAAGAUGGUCUCCCGGUCUUCUUACUGUUGAUAUUCUCUUCUUAGUCAUGCCAAUAGAAUAUGACUAUAGAUAGUUUUCCAGAUAACACGCUGGUGCUUCCAACCAGUGUAGAACGAACCUGCUAUCUAUCUGAGUAAACCUUUCAUUGUGAUCUAACUGCAUAAUUUUUAUGAAUCUUUUGAAUCUAAUGAUUUUUCCGCUUGCAUACUUAUGUGUUCAUGUAAGAAGUGCCUCUUUUUUGAUUUUUCUGUGUACGUGAAUACAAAGAGCAUAUGUUUCCUGUAAGUCGUUUUCGUGGCAGCCAAAAAUUAUUCAAUUGGCGAAUGUGUCAAAUUUGUUUGCAUUAAAAUGCAAGAGCAUGGGUAGAUAAUGCGGGCAUUUGUAGUAGUCGAGGAUCGACCAAGCGUUCUCAAAAAGAAGGAAACACAAUAAAGGUAUCUUGCGAUAAUUGGAGAAUAACGAUAUAGCUAAAAGUAAUGAUGCCAGGUUGGCCUACAGAUGGUUGGUAUCAUCCUGGUCGCUUUGGUUCUUUGUCGGGCUCAAUGGUUUGAUGACGGACAAACAACAUUUCAUGCAAUUGCAUCAUCCACUGAGGAAGCAACGCCAGUGGUUAGGUUUCUCUUCUUGAAGUUGAUUAAAAUAUGAAGGGAUUCGGAUUUUAUGUAUCAUAUUCUAUAUACGGGGUAUAUGUUGUAUUUUAUAGAGAGGAGAUUCGCUAGACAAUUCAUGAGAAAAUCUCAUGAAAUGGAAAUAUUCUAUGGAUUCUUUUUGUUUCCCUCUAUAUUCCAGAUAUAAAG